GAGAUAGAUGAGCGUGGCCAGCUCGCUGGUCAUGUUAACAAGCCUCGUCAUAAAGAUGGGGAUGGUAUG
ensembl:misc_RNA